GGACAUUAGCUUAAAAGGUGCUGGAACAUAACCAGAGUGCACAGAGGCUAGGCACCUCAUUCUAACCUCAGCAGUGGUGUCAGGCAAUGACCAGGGGCCUGUGGGAAGGCAGCUGCUCGUUCACUGCAAGAGCCAAGCAGAGACAAACAAGAAAUGAAUGUGCUGCUGUCGAAGUCCACAUCCUCUUGCUUGAGAAUGCUUUUGAGGAUACUCACCUUUGCAUAAACAUCCAGGAAUGGCAUGAGAAUUUAAAUCCAGUGAGAGCAGACUGCAGACUUUUCUUUUAUGAGAAUCUCCACAACCCACCCAUGCAUUUUACAGUUGAAGGAGCAAGACAGCAUGUUCAGGAUCUUCUGAGAAUGAAGACAUGAGUAAGAUGUAUUACAUGCUGGUGAAUAAACUAACAACCAGCAAUGGACCACCAGAAAAUGGUUGGUGGUCCAUUGAUAGGCUGCAGUCUAGGACCUUAUCGGAUACUUUUUCCCCCUUGAUGCUUGAGGCCACGUGAGUCUGAGAAAAAAAACGCAGUUUACUGCACCUCAAAGUGUCCUCAAAAUGGCCCCUUCAGUCUUCUGACCGAAGCAAAGGACACUUGUCAGUCCUGAAUGGGAAUGGCUUGGCACUGGGUGACAGAAUGGGGCCAUUUUGAGGACACUUUGAAGUUUAUCACACUGGCCCUAAAACGGGCCCAGUGUGUUCUAAAAUGUGUGCGCGCGC